GCCACGUUCGCCCCCAAUACAAAACCCUCCCUCCGCUCCGCCUCUCUUCCUCUCUCUCCUCCUUCCAAACAAAACCCUAGACGUCUCCCGGGCGUGGGAGAUCAGAGGGGUUAUUUUUGAUAUAUUCUGGUCUCGUCUUCGAUCGCCGGAAGCGAUGGAGAUGCCGCAGGACGAUUUGGAUCGGCUCGUCUUCUUCGAGCAUGCCCGCAAGUCCGCCGAGGCCGCCUACGCCAAGAACCCCCUCGAUGCCGACAAUCUAACACGGUGGGGAGGCGCGCUUAUCGAGCUAUCACAAUUU